rnacentral:rRNA from 1 species
CCUACGGGUGGCAGCAGGGAGGAAUUUUUGUCCAUGGGCGCGAGCCUGAACCAGCCAAGGCGCGUGAGGUGAGACGGUCCUAUGGAUUGUAAACCUCUUUUGUCGGGGAGCAAAAGACGCCACGCGUGGCGUUCCGAGAGUACCCGAAGAAAAAGCAUCGACUAACUCCGUGCCAGCAGCCGCGGUAAUAGGGAGGAUGCGAGCGUUAUCCGGAUUUAUUGGGUUUAGAGGGUGCGCAGGCGGAAGUUCAAGUCAGCGGUAAAACUGAGAGGCUAAACCUCUUCGAGCAGUUGAAACUGGUUGUCUUGAGUGAGUGAGAGGUAUGCGGAACGCGAGGUGUAGCGGUGAAAUGCAUAGAUAUAACGCAGAACUCCGAUGGCGAAGGCAGCAUACCGGCGUGUAACUGACGCUCAUGCACGAAAGUGUGGGUAGCGAACAGGAUUAGAUACCCCAGUAGUC